rnacentral:rRNA from 1 species
AAGUCUUCGGACUUAGCGGCGGACGGGUGAGUAACGCGUGGGAACGUGCCCUUUGCUUCGGAAUAGCCCCGGGAAACUGGGAGUAAUACCGAAUGUGCCCUUUGGGGGAAAGAUUUAUCGGCAAAGGAUCGGCCCGCGUUGGAUUAGGUAGUUGGUGGGGUAAUGGCCUACCAAGCCGACGAUCCAUAGCUGGUUUGAGAGGAUGAUCAGCCACACUGGGACUGAGACACGGCCCAGACUCCUACGGGAGGCAGCAGUGGGGAAUCUUAGACAAUGGGCGCAAGCCUGAUCUAGCCAUGCCGCGUGAUCGAUGAAGGCCUUAGGGUUGUAAAGAUCUUUCAGGUGGGAAGAUAAUGACGGUACCACCAGAAGAAGCCCCGGCUAACUCCGUGCCAG